UGGGGAAUAUUGGGCAAUGGGCGAAAGCCUGACCCAGCAACGCCGCGUGAGGGAAGAAGGUUUUCGGAUCGUAAACCUCUGUCCUUGGUGAAGAGUAAGAGACGGUAGCCAAGGAGGAAGCCCCGGCUAACUACGUGCCAGCAGCCGCGGUAAUACGUAGGGGGCGAGCGUUGUCCGGAAUGAUUGGGCGUAAAGGGCGCGUAGGCGGCCUGUUAAGUCUGGAGUGAAAUUCCUGCUUUCAAGGUAGGAAGUGCUUUGGAAACUGGCGGGCUGGGGUGCAGGAGCCGCG
rnacentral:rRNA from 1 species